UUAAGUUCAGCGGGUAUUCCUACCUGAUCCGAGGUCAACCUUGUGCCGCCUAGGCGGGCUUGUAGGGGGUUUAGAGGCUGGUGCCCGAGGGCUCCCGAUGCGAGGCGGAUGCUACUACGCAAGGGGAGGGCCGCUACGGGUCCGCCACUGCUUUUCAGGGCCUACGACGGGGCGUAGAUCCCCAACACCGGGCCACUGGG
rnacentral:misc_RNA from 1 species